AAAUUCAAGAGAAAGUGUGAAAAUCCAAGGAAUUAAGCAAGGUGGUGAGCCUUCUAACAAGGGUAAAGAAAUUAUGCCCGAAGAUCGAGAUUAGGAGUAUAUCGAACUCCUAGUACACGGAGGUUUUGUGGACCAGCCUAAGCGAGGAGGCACAGAAUCAAAUAUACCUUACCUCGACUGGAGAGCCGUGUGGAGGGUGUCUUUGGAGGUAAAGAUUUGAGUGCACUUCACGUGGACCACCGCGUGAGAGUGAGACUCAGCCAACGCCAAGGCAUGGCUAGAUUUUCAAAUGUAAAAAUAUGUUCAUGUGUGUACUACACUGAACAGCCUUAGUGGUCUCGGUUAGAUGCCUAGGCCAAGGCAUCCCUGGGAAUGAUUUUGGCAAGAGCCAAGUUUUGUGAAAUACAUAAGCCAAGUUGAUUAUUUGAGUAAAUUGAUUAUUGAUGUUAUGAAAAACAUACUAGAAUGGAAUAUCUUACUUGUCUCCAUUUACUCGACUUUAGAUGAUUUAGAUGGUAUC
rnacentral:sRNA from 1 species